UAAGUCUCCUAUAAUUAUGAGUCUCGAUUUCAUUUCUACUUUUGAUUUAAUCAGGAACACAGGCACGUUACUUUCAGAAUGAUGCUAUUUUAUAAGGCAGUGCUGGCCUGUUAUCUGGCGAGGGGUGAAUCACCCCAGAUUUCAUGCUCUUAUUUCCUCAUCUGUGUUUGGCUGCUGACUCACUGAAAUAAAAUCUUGCAAGUGAAUCACUGAUUAAGUGGCUGAUUGACGUACCAUUGCCAUUUUAACCACGCGAUGGUGACAGUAUGUCUGGAGAGAAGGUGUGACCGUUUCCAUCUAACCAAUCUUGGAAAUCACCCUGCUCAAGGACGCUUCACAAUGUUCAGCCAGAUCUUUUCCAGAACGUGUCGGUGAAACUGGGAAGUCCCAGCACACCCAACCCACGCAGUGGUUCCCAGAGUGCGGUUUACCUACUGAAGUGGCGCCACCCUGUGGUAACGUCAUGAACAGCGUACGCUGUGGAUCGCAAGUUUUGAAAUGAAGGAAUUGUAGAUUCAUUUUUAAUGGGCCGACGUUCCGCAUUUUGAAUGAAGCCCUAUUCUAUUUUUGAAUGUACGAAUAUUUUAUUGCUCACCUUUAAGCACAAAGUAUACCUCCAGCCAUUUUCUUUCACAACUUAACAAACAUUUGUGAAUAUAUGAAA